rnacentral:rRNA from 1 species
CCUACGGGAGGCUGCAGUGGGGAAUAUUGGACAAUGGGCGAAAGCCUGAUCCAGCCAUGCCGCGUGUGUGAAGAAGGCCUUCGGGUUGUAAAGCACUUUCAGUGGGGAAGAAAGCCUUGGGGCUAAUACCCCCGAGGAAGGACAUCACCCACAGAAGAAGCACCGGCUAACUCCGUGCCAGCAGCCGCGGUAAUACGGAGGGUGCGAGCGUUAAUCGGAAUUACUGGGCGUAAAGCGCGCGUAGGCGGUCUGAUAAGCCGGUUGUGAAAGCCCCGGGCUCAACCUGGGAACGGCAUCCGGGACUGUCAGGCUAGAGUGCAUGAGAGGAAGGUAGAAUUCCCGGUGUAGCGGUGAAAUGCGUAGAGAUCGGGAGGAAUACCGGUGGCGAAGGCAGCCUUCUGGACUAACACUGACGCUGAGGUACGAAAGCGUGGGUAGCAAACAGGAUUAGAUACCCGGGUAGUC